rnacentral:rRNA from 1 species
ACACAUGCAAGUCGAGGGGCAGCAUCAUCAAAGCUUGCUUUGAUGGAUGGCGACCGGCGCACGGGUGAGUAACACGUAUCCAACCUGCCGACAACACUGGGAUAGCCUUUCGAAAGAAAGAUUAAUACCGGAUGGCAUAAUUAUUCCGCAUGGGAUAAUUAUUAAAGAAUUUCGGUUGUCGAUGGGGAUGCGUUCCAUUAGGCAGUUGGCGGGGUAACGGCCCACCAAACCUACGAUGGAUAGGGGUUCUGAGAGGAAGGUCCCCCACAUUGGAACUGAGACACGGUCCAAACUCCUACGGGAGGCAGCAGUGAGGAAUAUUGGUCAAUGGACGAGAGUCUGAACCAGCCAAGUAGCGUGAAGGAUGACUGCCCUAUGGGUUGUAAACUUCUUUUAUACGGGAAUAAAGUGAGCCACGUGUGGCUUUUUGUAUGUACCGUAUGAAUAAGGAUCGGCUAACUCCGUGCCAGCAGCCGCGGUAAUACGGAGGAUCCGAGCGUUAUCCGGAUUUAUUGGGUUUAAAGGGAGCGUAGGCGGGUUGUUAAGUCAGUUGUGAAAGUUUGCGGCUCAACCGUAAAAUUGCAGUUGAUACUGGCGACCUUGAGUGCAACAGAGGUAGGCGGAAUUCGUGGUGUAGCGGUGAAAUGCUUAGAUAUCACGAAGAACUCCGAUUGCGAAGGCAGCUUACUGGAUUGUAACUGACGCUGAUGCUCGAAAGUGUGGGUAUCAAACAGGAUUAGAUACCCUGGUAGUCCACACAGUAAACGAUGAAUACUCGCUGUUGGCGAUAUACAGUCAGCGGCCAAGCGAAAGCAUUAAGUAUUCCACCUGGGGAGUACGCCGGCAACGGUGAAACUCAAAGGAAUUGACGGGGGCCCGCACAAGCGGAGGAACAUGUGGUUUAAUUCGAUGAUACGCGAGGAACCUUACCC